CGAAGUCACUCUUGAGCAAUCUGCCUGGCCAAGUCAUGUCUUCUGUCCUAAGGAAGUGAAAGUUAGGAAAAUUCUGCCAGUCCAGCAGAAAGAGAGGCCACUUUGGUCACGGACCUCCCUCUCUCUACAUGGUUCACUGGAGAUUUUGCGUUCUCUCUUUCACCAAGGCUGCAGGUGUUGUGCUGAAUAACAACAAUAAUAAGUUGUUAAUGACAUCACUCUCUCUCCCUGUCCCUCAUUGAAUGUUGUGGCUGAUUAUCUUUUCCGGGUUUCAGAGGGUAUCUCUGGGUUUACUGUAUGCACACACACAUACGUAAACAGACGCAAACACACAGACACACAAACACACAGUCUUAACACAAUCAUUAAUCAGUCACUGUGCGAGAGGCCAAGGCCGAGAGCUGAGCAGAGAAGCAAGAGGACUUUGCCAAAAGCAGCAGUAGCUACCCAUAAAAACAUCUGCCAAAAAUGUUCUGCAGUUGGCAAGUAUUGUCCCUGUAUCAUUCCAGUAUUGUCACAUAUUUUUCCUUGAUGUUUUCCUACUUAUAGCAGUGACUCAUUUGGGGCCUGGGGGAGAAUAGAGUGAGUAACAUGUUAGUGUUUAUGUAAUGAGUGUAUUAUAACUGUGUGUGUGUGUGUCUGUGCCAUUUGUGUGACAUUUGUGUGGCAAGUGUGUUAUAUCAGCCAAGCUUAGCAAUGUUAAAUAAACAAACUGUGAUAGAGAUCCUCCAUGAAGCAGAGGAUUUGGAUUGGACAGCUCGGGAUCAGUAGAAGCUGAUGGCUCGGAGAUGGCUUUUUCUUUGUCCGUGCAUGUGUGUGCUUGUCUAUGUGUCUGUGUGUCUGUGUGUCUGUGUGUCUGUGUGUUGAAUUUCUGAGGGUCAGUGUUUUGACAUGAUUAUGUACAGUCAGGUCCAGAAUUAUUGGCACCCUUGAUAAAGAUGAGCAAAAAAGUGUUGAAAAUAUUUUAUACAAAUAGUGAUCUAUAUCGUAUGCUUAAUAAAAUGGUACAAUUAUAUUAUUUUAUACUAAUACAAUUGCUCAGAUAAAGAG
ensembl:lncRNA